GAUAAUGCAACAGAAGUCCAGAGAGCGUGACUCGAUUCCCCACAGUCACUGAGCACAAUAAUGAUAGUGCCAGGCCAGCACAUGGGUUCCUUGACUACCAGUUGCAUGUUCUUACCAAGCGUCCAAUUACCUGCAACGUCAUUUUAGCCCUAAAUUCUUUGAAACCAACCAUGUAAAUAAUAACAGGUUGACUGCUCCUGCUCCCCCGGCCUGAGGGAACGUGGACUUUGGGGAGAAAGGGACUGAAUAAACACAAGACAUCAGACUUCCUUUCUGGAAUUUUCUGGUGAAACAGAAAACACUCCACCUGUCAGCCUCUUCCACCUGCCUGGUCCCCUCCUUCCUCCUUUCCCUUUGGAAUUUCACAAGGAUAUUAGGUCAUGGAGGAACCAUCUACCAAGGCGUAAUGGAACUUUUUCAUCUCUGGGUCAGCCUCUUUGACUUCUGGCAUCUGAGGCUUCCUCUCCAGCAGCUCCAGCCAGAAACACGGAGAAGAGCAGUAUGACACAGCAUGGGCUUUUGACAAGAACUGAGAUGAAUCCUGGCACUGCCACUUGGGACUAUAGAAAGU